UCUCAUCUUUAUUGGAAAUUU
rnacentral:piRNA from 1 species